GAGAGAGGCCAGUAUUUCUGAGGUCUCCAUAGCCUCCCGUUGUUCACUGGAUUAAUUCAGAAGACAUUACCAUGAAGCUUGGGCAGAGCUGGGUUCUUGCUUUGACAAUUUUGUAUGGUGUUCACUGUGAAGUACAUCUGGAGCAGUCUGGAGGAGGCUUUAUUCAGCCAGGAGGUUCCCUGAGACUCUAUUGUGAAGGGUCUGGGUUCACCUUCAGUGACUUCUACAUACACUGGCAUCGCCAGGCUCCAGGAAAGAGUCUGGAGUGGGUGGGUUUCAUCAGAGACAAACCUAGGGGGCACACAACGGAGUAUGCUGCGUCUGUGAAACAGAGAUUCGCCAUCUCAAGAGAUGAUUCCAAGAACACUGCCUACCUUCACAUGAGCAGUCUGAGAGCCGAGGACUCGGCGAUGUAUUACUGUGCCAGAGAAAGAGACACAGUGAGUAGAUGGUAGUGUGAGCCCAGACAAAAACCUCCCUCAAGUGGUGUUCGCCACCAGUGAACGCUCAAAACCAGCAGGGGGCGCUCGGGACUAGCUGUAGCCACAGGUGGGACAGGAAGUGGAUGUAAGUUUCAUGACUUUUGUAUGCUAGGGUCAUAAGUUUAUGAACUGUUUUUGCUAUUACAAUGCAUCUUUAUUAUUUGGGUAUUAAGUCAAAGAAAAAGUAAGAUGCAAAAUGCAUUUUAAGGGGGAGAAUAUGCAUUUUACGCACUAGUAAUUUC